CUACCAGAAAAGAAUAUAUAUUUUUGUACAAUACAAUAUAAAUAGUACAAAUUGUGCUGCCCCAAUUAAACGCCAAACAAGAAAUACAUUAUAAAUAAAACAAUCAGGGUUGGACAAAAUAGUGUUCUUAGUUCAUUCAGAAAAAAAAAUGAAUCUUAUUUUACACAUAAUCUUACUUAAUAAAUGUUUUAUUGCGUAAAAGCCCAGGAAAUGGCCAUUUG